GUCAGGAACCCCACGGCUAUAAGCCGGAGGCUUGAAUAAAGUCUAUACCUGACCAGCCUAAGUGCUUAGCGCACUACGUUAACGGUAAGCGUUAAAGUUCCUACCUUGGGAUGCGUGCCAGUCCCAUGCUCUAGAACCGAGUGGUUAAACAGGUGUACAAGGGUUAAGCUAGUGCUACUUGGAAAGUACCGACCGUUAACAUUGGCGAGGCAAACGUCAC
ncrna:Microcoleus chthonoplastes PCC 7420 HNH endonuclease-associated RNA and ORF (HEARO) RNA